rnacentral:rRNA from 1 species
AUUGAACGCUGGCGGCAUGCCUUACACAUGCAAGUCGAACGGCAGCACGGGUGCUUGCACCUGGUGGCGAGUGGCGAACGGGUGAGUAAUACAUCGGAACAUGUCCUGUAGUGGGGGAUAGCCCGGCGAAAGCCGGAUUAAUACCGCAUACGAUCUACGGAUGAAAGCGGGGGACCUUCGGGCCUCGCGCUAUAGGGUUGGCCGAUGGCUGAUUAGCUAGUUGGUGGGGUAAAGGCCUACCAAGGCGACGAUCAGUAGCUGGUCUGAGAGGACGACCAGCCACACUGGGACUGAGACACGGCCCAGACUCCUACGGGAGGCAGCAGUGGGGAAUUUUGGACAAUGGGCGAAAGCCUGAUCCAGCAAUGCCGCGUGUGUGAAGAAGGCCUUCGGGUUGUAAAGCACUUUUGUCCGGAAAGAAAUCCUUGGCCCUAAUACGGUCGGGGGAUGACGGUACCAGAAGAAUAAGCACCGGCUAACUACGU